UGUAAAACGGUUACAACGAUAACCGUAUUAUAUUCUACAUCUAGAUACAGAGUAUUAAGUAGAAGAUACAUCCCGUCAAAAAAAAUAAAGUAGAAGAUAUAUACAUUAAAAACCUAGCUUUACAAUUACAUCUCAUCUUUCCCUCUAGCCGCCUCCUCCAGUUUGAUCCCCUCUAUGGAAUUUUUCAUUCUUCUUGAAGCAAAUGUGCGUGCACUGAUCCCUUCUCACUCUUCCUUUAACCUUCUUUGGAAAAAUCAACAUCAUUCAUACUCGUCCGCGUGUAUUAUUAACAUCAGGAAAGAAGUCAAAUAUGGGCGAGAAGUGUUAUUUUUUUCUUCUUUUCCUUGUAAUUUUGGUAUUUUGUACUGAAAGUUGUAAAUGUAAGAUAGAUAUAUUUCGUAAAAUAUCAAUGACUUAAUUCAUUUUUGGGAAAUGUAACGCAAUGUUAAUAAUAACAGUUUUGUAUUUGGAAAUUAGAGAAUUUUUUUUCUUUAAUCUUUUUACUGGAUCCGUAAUUUUAGUCUUAAA